rnacentral:rRNA from 1 species
ACAAAUGCAUUGCCUUAGUAGCGGCGAGUGAGCGGCAGAGCUCAAUUUGAAAUCUGGUACCUUUGGUGCCCGAGUUGUAAUUUGAAGAUCACAAUCUUGGAAUUGGUCCUUGUCUAUGUUCCUUGGAACAGGACGUCACAGAGGGUGAGAAUCCCGUGCGAUGAGGAUACCUUUUUCAUUUAAGAUGUGUUCGACGAGUCGAGUUGUUUGGGAAUGCAGCUCAAAGUGGGUGGUAAAUUCCAUCUAAAGCUAAAUAUUGGCGAGAGACCGAUAGCGAACAAGUACAGUGAUGGAAAGAUGAAAAGAACUUUGAAAAGAGAGUGAAAAAGUACGUGAAAUUGUUGAAAGGGAAGGGUAUUUAAUCAGACUUGGUAUUUAGCUAUCUCUUCUCCUUGUGGGAGGGGCUCUAGCUUUUUACUGGGCCAGCAUCAGUUUUGGUGGUAAGAUAAUCGCAGUUGAAUGUGGCUCCUCGGAGUGUUAUAGCUUCUGUUGAUGUUACCUACUGGGACUGAGGUCUGCGGCUUUUGCCUAGGAUGCUGGCGUAAUGAUUAAACACCGCCCGUCUGAAACCCAGGGACCAAAA